rnacentral:lncRNA from 1 species
GUUCAAAUUUCAGCUUGUGGAUGAUACUGGGGCUGUAAAUCUGAAAUACAGGGAGGAUGAAUCAAACAAAAUGGCCAACAGAAGACUCACUUGCCCCUGCCUUCUGUUGUCUUGUCUUGAGCUCAAAAUGAUAGCAGGGAAAGCAGGUUACAGAUUGUGAUUGCCAUCAAGGGCACCAAAUAUUCUCUGACAAUUGUUGUAUGAGGCCCUGGGAGGAAAGAAGAGUGAUCAUGACUGUAGGCUUUUGUUUCUCUAAAUGUCAAAGGUUACUAAAAUAGGAAUGAGAAGAGAUGAAAUGGAAACUUUUAAAAGUGCUGUAUUAUGUAAUUCUAUCUGCAUCUCAGUCAGAGGCUUCAGCCCUUUUUCCACAGCAGGCAUGUUUUCAAGUUUCUAAUCCCCUACUUAGACCCCACCCCAACUCCCUUUAAAAUAAAACCAAGCCAAUCAAACUUGAAUUGGAAAUGAUGAUAGGGGAAAAAGAGAUUGAAAGAAGGGUAUAUUUGUGUGAUUAUUGAGUUUCUUAAGAAUUUAUUUUGCCACAUUUUAAUUGAUGAUACAAUAUUUUAAAAAGCUGGGUGUGGUGGCACACACCUGUAAUCUCAGUGGCUCUGAGGCUAAGACAGUAGGAUCACGAGUUCAAAGGCAGCCACAGCAAUGGCAAGGUGCUAAGCAACUCAGUGAGAACCCUGUUUCUAAAUAAAAUACAAAAUAGGGCUGAGGAUGAGGCUCAGUGGUCGAGUGCCCCCAAGUUCAAUCUCCAGUACCAAUAAAUAGAUAAAUAAAUAAAAGCGUAAUAAUGAUAAAGUGAACUCGAACCCUACUAUUUGAAGCACAAUUAAUA